CAAGUUUUGUUACAUCACUCUCGAUGAUUGGCAGGAAUAGUUAUAGCUUCUAUCCUUGCAGUUGCUUCUGUAACUGCCACUGCUGCAGUAGCUGGCGUUGCUUUACAUCAAGGCAUUCAAACUGCGGAUUUCGUGAGAACAUGGCAUCAAGAUGCUCAUUUAUUAUGGCAACAACAAAAGGACUUAGACUCUCAAUUGGCUACAGAUGUGAUACAUUUACAACAUACUGUUUCCUGGCUUGGCGAUAAAGUGACUAUCUUGGCUACCAGAAAUGUUCUAAAGUGUGACUGGAAUUCUUCUCAUAUUUGUGUGACUCCUGGGCCAUAUAAUACCAGUGAUUCCUGGGAAACUGUUAAAAGAUGGUUAAAUGGACAUCAAAAUUUAACUUUUGAAAUUAUGAAUUUGGAAAAAACUAUUAUUGACACCUUUAGUAAGACAUUACCUGAACUAACAGGAUCUGAUAUUUUACAAAAAUCAUCUUCAAGUAUUGCUAAUUUAAAUCCUUUAAGUCAUUUCUCUACCUUGUUGUCAACUUCUUUAGGUAACACUGUAAUAAUUUUUGUUUUGUGUUUUGUUUUGUAUAUAGUCUUCCAACGCUGAAAAAAAGUGAAGGCAACUGAAACAUGAAACCUCUCUUAUUUCUUCUGCUAUGGCUCAUUUACAAAAACAGAAGGAGGGAGAUGUAGAGAAUCAGAUGUGACUGUGAGCUUGAAAACGUAAUUAUUAUUGCCCUUGAUGGAGUCUGCCUGCAAAAGGGAUAUUCUGUCAAGGUCUAGAUAAGGUGACAGCAAAUCAUGCUUGCAUAUGAGAUGUUUUGUUGUCUGUUGGGGUUUACUCGCAAACGAGAGGUUUCUUCAAAGUUUAGAUAAGGUAACAGUGGACAUGCUUGAAAACGAGGUGUCUACUGUCCUUGGGAGGACUUGCCUGCAAAGGGAAUGUUCUCCCAAGUGGGCUAGGAGGGCACUAAGAAAAAUUUUUUUAUCUGUUCUUGACAAAGAGCAGAGCUCAGCAUGCUCAGGCCAAGAGUAGAUUAGCCAUGAGAAGCGGGUCACUUCUGAUUAGAAAGUAAAACUUCUGUAUGCUAUGUUUCAUUAGCUAAAAGACCUGAUUUAUUGCUGGCAGAAGGCUGCCUUCUUUGUUCACAAUACUAUAAAAAAGAUUGCUGUAUAC
rnacentral:lncRNA from 1 species